UCAAAUCACAUGUCACAUGGUUUCUCUCUGUUGGAAUGUCUAAAUUCAAAUCCUACUUCGUUAAAAUUAGAUUCGGGAUCUUUCUCUCUCUUAAGUGGGUUUCAGUCUCCACUAAAUAAAAUUUCACAGACUUUAAAUUUUCAUUUCGUAAUUUAUCGGCGUAAUAAUUCCGCUUAAUUUCAAAUGAGAAGAUAACGAAAAGUAGAGGUUAGCUGGAUUCCUCGAUUCUGAUUCCUUUUUUAAAUAAGCAAAAUGUCAAAAGCUGUCAACCAAACGAAUCAAGUCGAAGAAGGACUGAACGAGGCUGAGGAGGAAAAUUGCAAAAACUGUGGACAAGCAUGCGAUCCUUAUAAUAAACCGUCCUUACGUUGCAGCGGCGGAUGCGAUAAGAGGAUACACAUAGAAUGUUUGAAGAGAGGCGGCGUCCCGGUGUCUUUCGUAGGAGACGUUUUCUUCGAGCUCAAUUGCACUUCUUGCAAUCCCUCAGGCGAGGAAACGGUCGUGCGCGACAAAAUGCCAUGGCUCAGUGCCAUCAUUCUGACCCUUUACAAUCUCCGUGAAAAGUCAAGCGGCAUCAGUAAAAGAGGAUACUUUCACUGGAAAUCCGAUGUCAGUACUUUCGUGGACAGAAACUGGGAUUAUUUGUUCAAGAAGACUGUGAAAAGAAAGAAGAAUUGGAUUGGUACUAUAUCUGGUACACUGUCCCAUUACAGUGGAAUUGUUUUCAAGUCUGGGACCAAUGAAUUAGGGGAGUCUGGAUGGUGGAAAUUAUUGGACAAUGAUCCACCUGAAAUUUUAAUCGCUAAAAAUAACAAAAUGUUAAGUGAUAGAAAGAAGCAACCGGGUUCAAAACUACCUUCCAAAUUAUUGGACAGUCCUGCGCCGUCAGAUUCCAGCAUCUCUGUUGGGGAGGAUAGCAAUUGCAGUGGGGAAUUGUUCAAGAACAAAGGUUCAUCGAUAUAUUCCCAUGCAUAUGUUCAACCUACAGAGACAUUGUCUGAUUUUCUACUCGAAGAGGACGAACCAAAUGACAUGGAUAACGAGGAUGACAUAAUGUUAAACGAUGAGAGCGAGGUUCCGUCUAUCUCCGAUUUAAUAAACGAUUGCCAAUACGGGAACAAUUUUCACUUGGCACAGCUGAUGGAUAACUGUGAUUGGUUGGACAAUACAAGUUUCUCGUCGCCAAAAUAUACCGGUGAUGAAGUUAAAACGAUAGAAGAAGGAUACGAUGAAGACAGCAGUGAUAGUCCGGUCUCCAUACGAGAGCAGCCUCCAGUUUCCUUGUUUAAAGAAGCGAAACGCCGUCAACGACCUUGGUCUAAGUCGUUCGUCGCUCCUAAUGAUAAAAUACCGCGCAUAACUUAUCAGGAAGAGGCAUAUUUACUGCAAAAAAUUAAUAAGACCGAUCUCUCGAGAGCUCCGGCCGCUGUUAAAAGAUUGUAUAGAAAAUUGGCGGUGCGAAAAAUAAAAAGGGAAUACCGGCUCCCUUUGUUGGACAUCGAUCGUUUUGGAUCCAAGCCUACAUCUGUGAUAUUGAAAGAUAAUGGACGAGUGUUGGAUCGCUUUUUCAACGAUAAUCUGGGAUGCGUCUUCGAACAAAGAUUGCAAGGUUACAAUCAGCCUACAUCUGUACACAGCCCGUACACAAAUAGACUUUUGAAGCCAUUUAUAAGGCGAGAUACCUCUUGUCGACCAUUGUGGUUAAGGAUCAUGGAAGAACUGCUCAUGAAAACAAAUAAAAACAAUCCAGAAUGGAAACCACAGCCAAGAGCUUCCAUCGAUUAUUCUUACAUCAGACCGCAACACAUUCCUGCGAUCAACAGUCUUUGUAAUCAAUUCUUUUGGCCCGAUAUAGAUCUGACAGAGUGUUUGCAAUACCCAGAUUUUACGUGCGUCGUCUUGUACAAGAAGUUGGUCAUAGGAUUUGCGAUAUUAGUACCUUACGUAAGCUACAACGAGUCCUAUAUCUCGUUCAUCCUGACACGUCCGGAGUGGCAGAAAUCUGGCAUCGGCACAUUUAUGUUGUACCAUCUGAUACAAACCUGUAUGGGACAGGAUGUCACUCUACAUGUGUCGGUCACCAAUCCUGCCUUAAUACUGUACCAGAAGUUUGGCUUCAAAGUGGAAGAAUUCAUUCAAGAUUUUUAUGACAAAUAUAUGCCGUCGAAUUCACGAGAAUGUAGACACGCUCUGUUCUUACGUUUAAACAGAUAAUUAAUGAUUUAAAUCUUAUUAACUAAAAGAGACUUUAGUGAGGCUCUUUAAGAUGCAAAAUUAAAUGAAAAAUUAAUUUUCGUCGAAACUGAGUUGUAUGCAAGAAGCAAAUUUUCAUCGGUACGAAAAACCAAGGACCUAAAGACCUGAAGGAGGGAAGAUGACAGAGAUUUGACGUUGGCGCCAAAACAUGUCGGCUGUUUGACGUCAUCGGCUACGUCGCGCUGCGGAACUGGCGUCGAUUCAUUCUCGAAAGUUCCGGAAGCUGCUAGAUGGAAAGU